UACGUAGGCAGCAAGCGUUGUUCGGAGUUACUGGGCGUAAAGAGCGCGCAGGCGGUCGAUCAAGUCGAGUGUGAAAGCCCCCGGCUCAACUGGGGAGGGUCAUUCGAUACUGAUCGACUCGAAGGCAGGAGAGGGUAGUGGAAUUCCCGGUGUAGUGGUGAAAUGCGUAGAUAUCGGGAGGAACACCAGUGGCGAAGGCGACUACCUGGCCUGUUCUUGACGCUGAGGCGCGAAAGCUAGGGGAGCAAACGGG
rnacentral:rRNA from 1 species